UUUAAAAGAAAAAGAGAAGAUAAAUCGGCACGUGUACUUAUGAGAAUGAUUGAAAGGUCACGAGAGGGUGACGGAAAGUAAAUAGUUAUGGUGCCGAUGUGAAAGUGUUAAGCCGUGGGCUUUGUUUUUGAAUGAUUGUGUGGGGACGCCCGUGUGUAUGGAACGGCUUCCAGGAGAAAGUGGCACAUGCUUCAGCUGGAGAAUCAACGCCUGCAAGUACUUGCAGAGGUCAUGUUCGGUAUACUUCAGCUGGAGAAUCAGCGCCUGCAAGAAGUGAAAACUUUCAGAGGUUAUGCCGCUGGAAUGCCUUAUCUGACUUGCGAGUCGGAUUGCGUCGGGUGCGGGUUGAAACCGACAAAUGAGCUCAUUACCUGCGAUAGGAAUAGACAUGCAUCAUGCUUGUUUGCGCAUAUCUCUGUGCUAUGUAACUCUGUGAUUAUGUGUGUGUGUUGCAUGACUGAUUGACUUCUGAGUUCUUUUAUUAUUCAUGCUUAUAAGUGUUUUGUUGUUAGUUGCGGUCGGUUAAUAAUGGCAAAAUGAACUUAACUUCUAACCCCGACCCUACUAAAAACUUCCCAGUUCUUACCCCCUAUCUCCACCCCUUUCAGCUACAGGUGCAAAGGCUCAUUGUCAAGUUACGGGAGCACAGAGGAAUAUGUUUAUAAGUUGAGUUGUUAUGAUUUGUUUUCCCCUCGCCUUGUUUGUUAGAGUUUAGGAUUUGUUUUUGGGAAUCUUGAAAUAAGUUUAUGUAUUUAAUACUAUGUGAAUAUAUAUACUUUUGUGAUUUAGUGGCGUAAAAUAAAGUCUCUUUUCGUUUUCUUAAUUAAAGUUUCGGUUCGUAUUCGUGAAGGCUCAAUAUAAAAUAAAGAUAGUAUAUAAUAAAAAGGUUUAGAGGUAAGUAGCACUCGGACUUUUAGUACGAUCAUGAGGUGCUAAAAGUUAGGGUGUUACAUUAUGGUAUCAGAGCAGUUCGUUCCGUUAGAGCCUUGGGAAUGGACUGACUAUGCUUUACUGCAUACUCUGAGUGUUUGUCAUGCAGUAGGACUUGUCCGACUGACAAGUGUUUGAGUUUCAAAUGCAUGAUUGUCUAUUGAUUAAUUCUGUUAGUCGACUAUUGCAUCUCUCAUGGUAUUAGGUCUGGCCAACUUAAUACUAAUGAUUCAUGUAUAUGGAAACACUAAUGGAUUAUCAUAGACGAGAUAGAAGUGAUAGGUAACGUGAAUCAUGGGGUUUGAAAAUGUUAGAAGUAAAGUUUUAGGAAAACGUAUACAACUUAUUCGUGCUAAAGUGGUUUGAAGUCAUUUCUUCCUUGAUUGCUUGCAGAGAAAUUUUUGUUUCGAACUUCUUUCUUGAGAAAUGUUUUGAAUAACUCCCGACCAUAUCUUGUCAUUUAUAAGAUAUGAUUUCCUUCACAUGAACUGAACAUGCCAAAUCUUUUUCUUUCUUUUUUUGACGUUUUGAAAGUGAAGUUGAUGCAAACCUUUUCUAUCUUAUAUUAAUUUUCGAAAACGAAAAUUUUUAUAAGUGGGGUAGGAUGUAAGACCCCAAGUUUUUUAAAAUUAAAUAAUUAGCUAUUUAUGAGUUAUUAUAUUUGUUGAAUUUUGUUUUUAAAUAAUACAUAUAUGUAUAUAUAUGUUAAUAUCAUGACACAUGUUUCAUUCCUUAUUAACUAAUGACACCUAUAAUGCUUUAAUCAUCACAAAACUUCACUUAUCACAAUCAUCUUUUCUUCUAUUCAUUAUUCACCGAGUGAACUUGGGAGAAAGAAGAAAGAAAGACCGAAUGAGCUUCCAUGGAAACCAUGAGUUUCCGGCUCUAAUUUCUUGAGAUCCGUAACUCUAAUAAAAAAUCUAAUCCGGUAAAAGUGUUCGUAUCCUCUUCUUCUACAUGUUGGCGUUACUUUUAUCUGGUAGAAGUUGACGGUGACAUAGCUCCUCUUUCUCUUGAGUUCGGUCAAUUAGAAUUUUAGGAGGCACAGACGAUUCUUAACGUUUUCUUCUUCAACAGUUCGAUCAGAAAAUUUCUCCGGAGGUCCCGUUAGUUUGAUUUCGUAUGGAGGUAGGGUUUGGUAACUUUAUAAUAAUUAAAUGUGGGUUUGAUAAGUGAAUGUUGAUUUAGUUGAUUAUUGCUUGAAUUUGAAUGAGUUUAUGUUAAAUUAUUGUUGAAUUAUUGUUGUUUGCUUGAGAUUUUGAUUCAAUUAUGUAUGAACAACUAGCUGGGAUGCUUUGAUUAUUUUGGGAGUAAAAAAUGGAAUUUUCAAAAGCUUUAAGAAAUAUAUUAACUAAUUUUGAAUUAUUAAAGAAAUAUUUUUGCUGCUGGAGUCGGUUGGAUUAUUAAUUGUUUUAAAGAUUUUGGAGAAUGGCAUAAAGAUGUGGUUUUAGUUUUAAAAGAAAAAGAGAAGAUAAAUCGGCACGUGUACUUAUGAGAAUGAUUGAAAGGUCACGAGAGGGUGACGGAAAGUAAAUAGUUAUGGUGCCGAUGUGAAAGUGUUAAGCCGUGGGCUUUGUUUUUGAAUGAUUGUGCGGGGACGCCCGUAUGUAUGGAACGGCUUCCAGGAGAAAGUGGCACAUGCUUCAGCUGGAGAAUCAGCGCCUGCAAGUACUUGCAGAGGUCAUGUUCGGCAUACUUCAGC
rnacentral:lncRNA from 1 species